rnacentral:rRNA from 1 species
GAUGAACGCUGGCGGCGUGCCUAAUACAUGCAAGUCGAGCGAACGGACGAGAAGCUUGCUUCUCUGAUGUUUGCGGCGGACGGGUGAGUAACACGUGGAUAACCUACCUAUAAGACUGGGAUAACUUCGGGAAACCGGAGCUAAUACCGGAUAAUAUUUUGAACCGCAUGGUUCAAAAGUGAAAGACGGUCUUGCUGUCACUUAUAGAUGGAUCCGCGCUGCAUUAGCUAGUUGGUAAGGUAACGGCUUACCAAGGCAACGAUGCAUAGCCGACCUGAGAGGGUGAUCGGCCACACUGGAACUGAGACACGGUCCAGGCUCCUACGGGAGGCAGCAGUGGGGAAUCUUCCGCAAUGGGCGAAAGCCUGACGGAGCAACGCCGCGUGAGUGAUGAAGGUCUUCGGAUCGUAAAACUCUGUUAUUAGGGAAGAACAUAUGUGUAAGUAACUGUGCACAUCUUGACGGUACCUAAUCAGAAAGCCACGGCUAACUACGUG